UGGGGAAUCUUGCGCAAUGCGCGAAAGCGUGACGCAGCAACGCCGCGUGGGGGAAGAAGGCCUUCGGGUUGUAAACCCCUUUCAGUUGGGACGAAGCUCCGCCGGUGAAUAGCCGGUUGGAGUGACGGUACCUUCAGAAGAAGCCCCGGCUAACUACGUGCCAGCAGCCGCGGUAAUACGUAGGGGGCAAGCGUUGUCCGGAAUCAUUGGGCGUAAAGAGCGUGUAGGCGGCUCGGUAAGUCCGCUGUGAAAGUCCAGGGCUCAACCCUGGAAUGCCGGUGGAAACUGUCGAGCUAGAGUCCGGAAGAGGCGAGUGGAAUUCCUGGUGUAGCGGUGAAAUGCGCAGAUAUCAGGAGGAACACCAAUGGCGAAGGCAGCUCGCUGGGACGGUACUGACGCUGAGACGCGAAAGCGUGGGGAGCAAACAGGAUUAGAUACC
rnacentral:rRNA from 1 species